CUGGACCAAUUGUGCGCAGCCGAGGAAAUACGUUCAGGAUGAUGGUAAAUUUAGCCCCGGUAUAUAAAGCAGUCCUCCAAUGAGCUGAGUUAUUGCGCUCUGUCAAUUCCAUUCAAGGGACUUGAAACAUAUGCUAACAUUGCCAAAGCUGCCCCUUUCUUGUGGCAACAGGUCACAAAUAUUGCUGCUGUUGAUGGCACAUUGUGACCCAGUAGAUACGGGAGUUUAUAGAAAUGGGGUGAGCCUAUAAAGCUCUGGGGAACCUCCCUCCACAAUGAUGACGCAGCCGGUGUGGUGCCGAAAAGCUCCCCCCUGCCAGACGCAAUUCUUCAUUGCUGCGACUUGCUUGCUAGUAAAAAAUUCUGAUCAUGUUAAGCUGCGUUUUUUUUUUUUUUUUUCUUUCGGUUUGAUGGCGGGGAAGGCACUAGUAAUGUCUGCAGUUUUGGUUUGUUAUUAUUUGUUUCAAGUCUAUUAGUCUAUAAAUAAAUCUCUUUGCCAAAAUUA